UCCUGGGUGGCUCAGUCGGUUGAGCGUCUGACUUCAGCUCAGGUCAUGAUCUCACAGUCUGUGAGUUCGAGCCCCACGUCAGGCU
rnacentral:tRNA from 1 species